rnacentral:rRNA from 1 species
CCCUUAGAUGUUCUGGGCCGCACGCGCGCUACAAUGAUGAAUUCAACGAGUUUAUAACCUUGGUUGAAAAGCCUGGGUAAUCUUUUGAACUUUCGUCGUGAUGGGGCUAGACCCUUGCAAUUAUUGGUCUCCAACGAGGAAUUCCUAGUAAACGCAAGUCAUCAGCUUGCAUUGAUUACGUCCCUGCCCUUUGUACACACCGCCCGUCGCACCUACCGAUUGAAUGGUCCGGUGAAAUCUUCGGAUUGAGACUUUGAUUUCUUCACGGAAAACGCUGUUUUAAAAAGCUGAUUAAACCUUACCAUUUAGAGGAAGGUGAAGUCGUAACA